GAAUGGACUAGGUCGGGCAGUUAGGCCCUGCUCGUCUCCCGCAAUAGAGUCUUCAGCGGGGACCGAACGCCGGAGGCGUCCGGGGCGCCCACCGCGGGCCUCGGAAGCUGACGGAGAAGCCUCGUCCGCCGGGGACGACGGUCCGCCGGGACGCACCCGCAGGGGUGCACUCCCACGGUUCGCCGGUGGCACCGGGCCAGGCGCGGAAGCGAGCAGCCCACCGCCGGACGUCCGUCGCUCGUCGGGUCGCGGGGCGGAGUCAGCGACCGGGAUUCCCCUCGGUGGAACUCCCGGGCAACUCCGGCCCGUCCGCUA
rfam:Halobaculum gomorrense strain DSM 9297 genome assembly, contig: Ga0131215_106